rnacentral:rRNA from 1 species
AGUCGACGCUUCUUUUUCACCGGAGCUUGCUCCACCGGAAAAAGAGGAGUGGCGAACGGGUGAGUAACACGUGGGUAACCUGCCCAUCAGAAGGGGAUAACACUUGGAAACAGGUGCUAAUACCGUAUAACAAUCAAAACCGCAUGGUUUUGAUUUGAAAGGCGCUUUCGGGUGUCGCUGAUGGAUGGACCCGCGGUGCAUUAGCUAGUUGGUGAGGUAACGGCUCACCAAGGCCACGAUGCAUAGCCGACCUGAGAGGGUGAUCGGCCACAUUGGGACUGAGACACGGCCCAAACUCCUACGGGAGGCAGCAGUAGGGAAUCUUCGGCAAUGGACGAAAGUCUGACCGAGCAACGCCGCGUGAGUGAAGAAGGUUUUCGGAUCGUAAAACUCUGUUGUUAGAGAAGAACAAGGAUGAGAGUAACUGUUCAUCCCUUGACGGUAUCUAACCAGAAAGCCACGGCUAACUACGUGCCAGCAGCCGCGGUAAUACGUAGGUGGCAAGCGUUGUCCGGAUUUAUUGGGCGUAAAGCGAGCGCAGGCGGUUUCUUAAGUCUGAUGUGAAAGCCCCCGGCUCAACCGGGGAGGGUCAUUGGAAACUGGGAGACUUGAGUGCAGAAGAGGAGAGUGGAAUUCCAUGUGUAGCGGUGAAAUGCGUAGAUAUAUGGAGGAACACCAGUGGCGAAGGCGGCUCUCUGGUCUGUAACUGACGCUGAGGCUCGAAAGCGU